rnacentral:lncRNA from 1 species
UUUUUUUUUUUGGUCUAUGCCGCAAGUAUAUUGUUAUGAAACUUUUUGUGACCGUGUUGUAUAUGUAUUUGUGUAUGUAUAAUCUUUUUCAAAAAAAUCACAAUUUGGAAAUAUGCUCUUUUGUAAAGUCCACCAAUGCCCCGUCCUCCAUUUGCACUUUUCGUCCAUGAGAAAACGAGGGACUAUUUGGGCCUACAACCAUCCAUCUGACCAUUGUACGCAAAUCGGACACAAAGCAUCAUACAUGAAGUAAUCCCGUUCAAGAAACAGGAGAAAUUAGCAAUGAAGUAAUCCCGCUCAAGAAACAGGAGAAAUUAGCAAGGUGGUAAGAAGUCAAAGAGAAUGAGAAGAGGCAGCCGAGGAAGCAAGAGGAGUAAGAGGCAGGCAAGACAUUCAAGGAGAUGAAGUUGUCGAAGAAAAGGUACAAACUGAUGGACACAAAUGGGAUGGAUGACAAAGAAUCACUUUUGGGAAAUUAGAAGGGCCGUAAUAUCGGCUUCCCAGAUGUGCUUGGCUUUUGUUUCUUUGGAGUACCAUCAUAUAUAUCUGCUCAUUUAAUUGAAUUUUAAAUUUGAGUCACAAAAUCAAGACCAAGUUGAAUUGUUUUCAGUAAAAACAUAAAGGGGAUUUAUAUAUCACCAGUAAAUACACAACAGGAUAAAUAUAUAAUACGAAAUACAUUUCAUAAUUUAACUAAGGGAAUAAAAUCGAUUUUAUAGAUGCUGAUAUAAUUUCAUAUCAAAUUUAUCAAACUUAUUGACUUAGAAGAAUCCUAGAACUCAAUUAUUUUGAGAGGGAAGUAGACAAGAAAAACUCAGCUGUUGCCUCAUUAGAAAGGCAAGCUUUGGGGGUGCUUGACGCCAAGUAUGAUCAAUCAUCAACAAGCCAUGAAAAUUGCUAAUACAGCAAUACUAAUAAUGUGCUGCAAUACAGGAAAUAGUUUGAAAUCUGCUAAUGAACUAAGAAGCGACGAUGUCCACAUGACCGUCCUCAUGACUGUAGUCCACUAGGUACUUCAGCUCGACACGCUUCGCAUAGCACCAUCCUACCACAUCUUAUGAUUCACAUAGUGCAACCGACCCUAGUACAUCUUAUGAUCCGAAUGAUACAGGUAGCUGCGUAAAUGGACUCGGAAAUAAACUUGGGCACGCUCGAGGGCCAGCCAAUCAGUGCCCCUCUCCCUC